UUAUAUGCUUGCUCAUAAUAAUCCUCAGUAGUUUUAGAAAACAUAAUAACAAAGUUGGGAAAAAAUGAGAAUAUUGCAUAUAGAUGAGAAACUUUCUUUAAAUGAGGUAUGCACUUUCUUUAAAUGAGGUAUCUGAUUCUACCAAUUUGUCAUCUGUAUGAAUGAUCUUAUAUUAACAUGUGUUAAGAAAGAAGAAAAAAUGAUACACUACACAAAUUAAACAAAAUAAAUAAAUCAUAUUCAUAAAUCUAUAAAACGUGAUCUUUUCACCAUGAAAAGCAAUAUGGUCCAACCUGAUGUAGAAGCAACCGACGACUUCAAACUUGCUAAAGCGAUCAUAAGCACCAAAGCCAGUGGAAAGAUCUGUUUGAAGAACUUCUUAAUUGAACCAUCUAAUAUUUGCCAUAAAGGUGUGUAAAGCUUUUACUUUCAAAGACAUGUUUUCGCACGUUGUUUAUGGAGGAAUCUGAUAAAGCCAUCAUAGUGAGAAGGGUGCUUUUGGGUUUUGUGGAAUCUAAUAAUGAAAUUAAGGAACUUUCCAAAGACUUACCUAGCCCCCCAAAUGUUAGAAUUGAAGAGAUGUUCCUUCAGUGAAGGUACAUUAGGAGAUACUAUAAUAUGACUACCUUCGUUGAGGUAUUUAUAGGUUCAGGGAUACACUAAAUCUAGAGCUGAUUGGGAUAAGGUACAUAAGAAGAGUCUAAAAUGGAUUACUAAGUUCAUUCUAGCAGAAAAAGUCUCCACCAUUCCUAAUGAAAAUGGAGAAGAUGCAACCAUUGAGAUUAAAACCCCAAAUUCUAGCUUAUUAUUCACUUGCUGAUUGGAGAACUGAUUUUCCAUCUACAGUUGUGCCCUUUAUACCCAAUGUUACAAUCGAUGAGUAAAUGUGUGUACCUUUGAGGUCCCUUCAUGUAAAUGAAAUUCCUUACCAGCUGAGAUACUUUCUGUUAUGAGUUUAGUGUGAUGAGUUUGCUUUCUUAGCUGAUAGGAAAGCAAUUGCGCCAUUGCCACUCUACUUUUCAUUUGUAUAGAAUUUUGAUGUGUUGGAGUCAUUUGAUGUCUGGUAAUGCAUAGAACCAUGGACUGGUGCAGUAAAAUUUUAGCUGCUAAUGAACACUUGUGUAGUUUUAACGGGUCAACUGAACAUUUGUUGUGAUCCAAUAUUUUGUCAAGGAUGAAGGUUUUCUUAUUGUUACAUUUCUACAAAGUAUUGGCUAGCAUAUGCUCUAACAAAACCUAUUGCCCCACAGCUAUUUUUGUUUCUUCCUCUAUCCAAGCUCUGUAUCUUCCCCAACCAAGAAUUUUGUAAAAAUUUUGACAACAAAGAACACAUUAAAAAAUUGAAACACAGAGGCUACGAUUUCGUUUUCCCUAAAAUAUUUAAAAUUUGAUGUCGUUUUCCUUCAUUUUCAUUUUAUUUUGAUUUCUUUCGUAGGCUACUCAGACAAAACAAAACUGAAUAAUUUGAAUGCAAAUUCUGCUAGACGAAAUUUGAAAUUGAGAAAGAAUGAAUGUGAAUGAAGCCUCUCUGCUAGAAGAAGACUCGAGAUCUAACAUCUGCAAAUGUGCUUCACCACUUCCACACUUGCGGUACUCUUUUUGUUAAUUUCUUUGACUAUUUCAAUUGUUGGCUUCCUGUGUAAUUAUUCUAUACUAUGAUUUUGGUAAUUCGUUGUAUAUGAAAAUUGGGAUCAUUUGCAUCUGGUUUCUUUUUCCUUUUGUUUGCUUUUUAAUUAAUUUCUAAUCCGGUGAUUUCAAUGGCACUGAAAAGUUAUUCUGCAGUUUAGUGGAGAAAUCCAUGUCUUCUAAGUUUCUGUAUGUCGACGCUUCACGCAAUCACUAUAAAGGUUUAGUUUUUGUCAGCAAUUUAGGAUAUGGUAGGUGUUGUGUGAUGAAUGUGAAGGAAAUAGAUCUAUUAGCAUCAGACACUGUAGUUGAUUCCACAACUGUGGAAAGCAUGAGUGGAUCUAUUCAAAUGAAAUUUUAUAGAAAGGAUAAACCACAUUAUUUUUAUGAAGUUUCUAUGAAAUAAUUCUAGGUAUCCUUAGAAAAGUAGUUCUCUAACAACAAAGAAUUAAUAUAACCAAAUUUUUUUAAUAUAUAUUUAUAACACCUUUCAAUGUGUACAUAAUAUUGAUUUCUUGAAUACAAUCAGCGAUCCUUGGUUCGUAAGACUUGAAGAGCAUGGUUGGAUGCUUAAUUAACUCAUCCUUUGUUAACAAUCCAUUAUUCAGGAUGAUAUCAUUCUUGGAGCAAACACACAAAACACCUAAGGACCCAUUGUUGCGAAUAAGAAUUGCAAGAAAAUUCUAUAUUCUUGUGAAUUUGAUAUAUGAUUUAUUUUCCCCUUCUGGUGCUCUAGCAUUUUGUCUCUUGGGGGUAACGGUGUGAAAAAUGAUUGUUUAAUAGAAUGCCUUCAUUUGAUUCCAUAUAGGACAGUUGAGUUGGAGCAAGAGAUUAAAAACUUGAAAAAGAAGUUGGCUACUGCACAAGAGAAAAUAGAAGUCUUCAAAAAGAGCUAUCAGAGGCUUAUAAUAUUAUAUUAAAGUUAGAACUACUAAUAUCUCUUUA
rnacentral:lncRNA from 1 species